ACUCCUACGGGAGGCAGCAGUGGGGAAUAUUGCACAAUGGGGGAAACCCUGAUGCAGCCAUGCCGCGUGUGUGAAGAAGGCCUUCGGGUUGUAAAGCACUUUCAGUAGGGAGGAAGGUAGUGUAGUUAACACCUGCACUAUUUGACGUUACCUACAGAAGAAGCACCGGCUAACUCCGUGCCAGCAGCCGCGGUAAUACGGAGGGUGCGAGCGUUAAUCGGAAUUACUGGGCGUAAAGCGCAUGCAGGCGGCCUGUUAAGUCAGAUGUGAAAGCCCGGGGCUUAACCUCGGAAUUGCAUUUGAAACUGGCAGGCUAGAGUCUUGUAGAGGGGGUAGAAUUUCAGGUGUAGCGGUGAAAUGCGUAGAGAUCUGAAGGAAUACCAGUGGCGAAGGCGGCCCCCUGGACAAAGACUGACGCUCAGAUGCGAAAGCGUGGGGAGCAAAC
rnacentral:rRNA from 1 species